rnacentral:rRNA from 1 species
GAGUUUGAUCAUGGCUCANGAUUAACGCUAGCGGCAUGCCUAAGGUAUGCAGGUCGAACGGUUUGUUUUUCGUAAGAAAAGCAAAUAGUGGCAGACGGUUGAGUAACGCGUAAGUACUUACCUCUGUCUCGGGCAUAACUUUGCGAAAGUAAAGGUAAUUCCCGAUAGUCCCUUUAGGGUAAAGAUUUUUCGGACAGAGAUAGGCUUGCGUCCUAUCAGGUAGUUGGUGGGGUAAUGGCCUACCAAGCCGACAACGGGUAGCUGGCCUG